CGGGGGUUGGGUGUAGUGGUAACGCUACGGGUCGCGACGUAAGAUAAACCCGUGACGCUUGUUCGAUUCAAGCACCCCCGACCA
rnacentral:tRNA from 1 species